rnacentral:rRNA from 1 species
GACGAACGCUGGCGGCGUGCCUAAUACAUGCAAGUCGAACGCUGAAGGAGGAGCUUGCUUCUCCGGAUGAGUUGCGAACGGGUGAGUAACGCGUAGGUAACCUGCCUGGUAGCGGGGGAUAACUAUUGGAAACGAUAGCUAAUACCGCAUAAGAGUAGAUGUCGCAUGACAUUUGCUUAAAAGGUGCAACUGCACCACUACCAGAUGGACCUGCGUUGUAUUAGCUAGUUGGUGAGGUAACGGCUCACCAAGGCAACGAUACAUAGCCGACCUGAGAGGGUGAUCGGCCACACUGGGACUGAGACACGGCCCAGACUCCUACGGGAGGCAGCAGUAGGGAAUCUUCGGCAAUGGACGGAAGUCUGACCGAGCAACGCCGCGUGAGGGAAGAAGGUUGUCGGAUCGUGAAGCUCGGUUGUAAGAGAAGAACGAGUGUGAGAGUGGAAAGUUCACACUGUGACGGUAUCUUACCAGAAAGGGACGGCUAACUACGUG